GUUAAAUUAAUGUAAGAUGUGACAGUACCAAAAUCAGUGAGGUAGAGCCCAAGAGCAGACCAGAAGGAGUGGGGUCAAGAGCACAGAUAAAAGCUUCAGGUUGAGGGGAAAAGAUACAAGAGAAAAGGAAAGAAAGUCUAGAGCAAAAUAAGAGGAUUUGUGUCUGAUUCCCUCUUCUCUUGGUGACAAAGGAGCAGGAUCAUGUACCGAGAGUGAACAGGCCUAGCAUAUCUGGG
rnacentral:lncRNA from 10 species